rnacentral:tRNA from 1 species
GGGCGGUUAGCUCAGUUGGCGGAGAGCGCGGCGUUAACAGCGCCGAGGUCGCCGGUUCGAACCCGGUACCGCCCA